rfam:Corvus brachyrhynchos isolate BGI_N302 unplaced genomic scaffold scaffold229, whole genome shotgun sequence.
CCAAAGGCUUUUUAUGUGGCAGGCUUUUUAAAGCCACACAGAUUUGCAAAGAAGUGGACU